GUACAUUUGUUCAGGUGUGCUCCGUGGGGCAGAAGGUGGUACAUUUGUUCAGGUGUGCUCCGUGGGGCAGAAGGUGGUACAUUUGUUCAGGUGUGCUCCGUGGGGCAGAAGGUGGUACAUUUGUUCAGGUGUGCUCCGUGGGGCAGAAGGUGGUACAUUUGUUCAGGUGUGCUCCGUGUCUCAGAAUGUGGUACAUUUGUCCAGGUGUGCUCCGUGUCUCAGAAUGUGGUACAUUUGUUCAGGUGUGCUCCGUGGGGCAGAAGGUGGUACAUUUGUUCAGGUGUGCUCCGUGUCUCAGAAUGUGGUACAUUUGUUCAGGUGUGCUCCGUGGGCCAGAAUGUGGUACAUUUGUUCAGGUGUGCUCCGUGUCUCAGAAUGUGGUACAUUUGUUCAGGUGUGCUCCGUGGGGCAGACGGUGGUA